AAGUGUGAGCUUAUAAUAAAUUCCUUUCCAAAACCCUAACCUGCCUUUUAUUUCUUAAUAUUAUUUUAUUUCUCUGUUGUUUUUCUCUCUCUCUUGCCUAUAAAUUCUCCUCCUCCACCACAACUCUCUUGGCCCCCCACUUCUCUUACUCUCCAAGUAUCUUCUACUUCUCUUUCUUUUUCUUCUUUCUUUCUCUUUUGAAGGAGAGAAAGGAUGAAAGUGUUUGGGAAAAAAAAAAAAAAAAAACUAAGGAAGGUGGACAGAGGUUGAAAGAUAUGUUUUGUUGUUGAAGGUGUUUGAGAUUUGGUGGCUUAUUAUGGAAAGAAGUUUCAUUUUCAUUGAUAGAAAUAUCAAGGAUGGUGUUCAAAAUAGAAGUUUUUUUCUUUCUUUCUUUCUUUACAUAUAUAUAUUUCAUGUAUCUUACUGGCUGUGUGAUUUCAUACAACUCAUGCCCUUUUAAUUAAUAUUCUCACAAUAAAUGCAUUUCUUUUUUUGUCCUUUCUUUAA